CCCGGGAGAGUCCCGGGGUCUUGGCGGGUGUGGGGGACCCACAGGAAGUACGCGGGGUCAUCUCCCCGCUCGGGGUGAAGCCUCCUCCGGAGGCCGGGACACCUGACGUUCCGAACCCGACAGCUCACUCCACCGGCGGAUGCAGUCAGGAAGG
rnacentral:sRNA from 2 species